rnacentral:misc_RNA from 1 species
AUGGAAGUGUUUCAAAAGAGGAAGUGUUUUCUCAAAUUGACCUUGCUCUAACCAAAUUGAUUGAGGAUAGGAAAGCAACUUCAGGAACUCUGGCUGCAUAGUUGUGGAACAUGAAUAGGUGGAAUACUUCAUAGAGAUCGAAGAAACAGAAGUUGUCAAUUCCUUACAUAGGGGUGUGUUCUUGGACUUGUAUAAUUUUUCAUUUUAAAUGCCCUCAUUCAAUCGUCAGUUUCUUGUAAAUUAGCAGUUGAUUCUUGUGCAAAUUUUUGUUAGCCA